UACAGAGGUCCCGAGCGUUGUUCGGAUUCACUGGGCGUAAAGGGUGCGUAGGUGGCAUGGUAAGUUUGAUGUGAAAGCUCAGGGCUCAACCCUGAAAUGGCAUUGAAUACUACUGUGCUGGAGGUUUGGAGGGGGGACUGGAAUUCUCGGUGUAGCAGUGAAAUGCGUAGAUAUCGAGAGGAACACCAGUGGCGAAGGCGAGUCCCUGGACAACACCUGACACUGAGGCACGAAAGCUAGGGGAGCAAAC
rnacentral:rRNA from 1 species